CUUUCAUGAUGAAAAACAAUUAAUCAGUUCUGCUUCUGAACUCCUUGAUGACAACCAAAAAUACCAAAAACUUUCUGAUAU
rnacentral:snoRNA from 1 species